rnacentral:rRNA from 1 species
GCUAUGACCAUGAUUACGCCAAGCUAUUUAGGUGACACUAUAGAAUACUCAAGCUAUGCAUCCAACGCGUUGGGAGCUCUCCCAUAUGGUCGACCUGCAGGCGGCCGCACUAGUGAUUGUAGUCAUAUGCUUGUCUCAAAGAUUAAGCCAUGCAUGUCUAAGUAUAAGCAAUUAUACCGCGAAACUGCGAAUGGCUCAUUAUAUAAGUUAUCGUUUAUUUGAUAGUACCUUACUACUUGGAUAACCGUGGUAAUUCUAGAGCUAAUACAUGCUAAAAAUCCCGACUUCGGAAGGGAUGUAUUUAUUAGAUUAAAAACCAAUGCCCUUCGGGGCUCACUGGUGAUUCAUGAUAACUCCUCGAAUCGCAUGGCCUUGUGCCGGCGAUGGUUCAUUCAAAUUUCUUCCCUAUCAACUUUCGAUGUUUGGGUAUUGGCCAAACAUGGUUGCAACGGGUAACGGAGGGUUAGGGCUCGACCCCGGAGAAGGAGCCUGAGAAACGGCUACUACAUCCAAGGAAGGCAGCAGGCGCGCAAAUUACCCAAUCCCGACACGGGGAGGUAGUGACAAUAAAUACUGAUACAGGGCUCUUUUGGGUCUUGUAAUUGGAAUGAGUACAAUUUAAAUCCCUUAACGA